AGCUCACUCAGGUAGAAUAAUGGCAAG
rnacentral:piRNA from 1 species